UGGGGAAUCUUCCGCAAUGGACGAAAGUCUGACGGAGCAACGCCGCGUGUAUGAUGAAGGUCUUCGGAUUGUAAAGUACUGUCAUUGGGGAAGAACGGUUUUCUUGAAAAGAUUGAGAAGACAUGACGGUACCCAAGGAGGAAGCCCCGGCUAACUACGUGCCAGCAGCCGCGGUAAUACGUAGGGGGCAAGCGUUGUCCGGAAUUAUUGGGCGUAAAGGGCGCGUAGGCGGGCCUUUAAGUCCGGUGGUGAAAGAUCAGGGCUCAACCCUGAGAGUGCAUCGGAAACUGGAGGCCUUGAGGACAGGAGAGGAAAGUGGAAUUCCACGUGUAGCGGUGAAAUGCGUAGAUAUGUGGAGGAACACCAGUGGCGAAGGCGACUUUCUGGACUGUAACUGACGCUGAGGCGCGAAAGCGUGGGGAGCAAACAGGAUUAGAUACCCUGGUAGUCCACGCCGUAAACGAUGAGUGCUAGGUGUAGAGGGUAUCGACCCCUUCUGUGCCGCAGUUAACACAAUAAGCACUCCGCCUGGGGAGUACGGCCGCAAGGUU
rnacentral:rRNA from 1 species